rnacentral:rRNA from 1 species
AUGAAGGUUCCGAGUUGGAAUUGCAAUGGUCUCGGGAAUGAACUGGCAAUCUGUGCUUUGCUUGAUGUCCAACGAAAGUCAAAUCCUGAUGUGAUGUUUUUGUCGGAGACUCACCUAGAAAGCUACCCGGCUGAAUGUUUACGUUGCCGCCUUAAGAUGGACCAAAAAUUUGUGUGCCAUUGCGAUGGGAGGAAGGGAGGUCUUAUUCUAUUUCGGAAAAAAGAAUUUAUGGUUCAGAGGUUGGAUCUUGACCCUAUGUUUAUAGAUGUGAUGAUCAUGAAUACAAGUGAUAACACAUGGAGACUUACUGUAUGUACGGAGAGUUUAGAUGGGAGAAUAAGCAUAUAA